UACGGAGGGAGCAAGCGUUACUCGGAAUUAUUGGGCGUAAAGGGCGCGUAGGCGAUUUGAAAAGUCUUGUGUGAAAGCCCCGAGCUUAACUCGGGAAGUGCACAAGAAACUGUUGAAUUUGAGUUCCGGAGAGGAAGGCAGAAUUCCUGGUGUAGCGGUGGAAUGCGCAGAUAUCAGGAGGAACACCGGUGGCGAAGGCGGGUCUCUGGGCAGUAACUGACGCUGAGGAGCGAAAGCGUGGGGAGCGAACAGG
rnacentral:rRNA from 1 species